UUUUGUUGCACAAGAAACAAGUCUCCUUUGUUGAAAAGUCAUCUUUCCUGGAGACUACUUCAUUCACACUCAAGUUUCCUUUUCAGAGAGGUCCAUGCACAAUGCAGAGAGACUAAACAAGGUCAUAAGAAGAGCGUCA